CCUACGAGAGGCAGCAGUGGGGAAUCUUGCACAAUGGGGGAAACCCUGAUGCAGCGACGCCGCGUGAGUGAAGAAGUAAUUCUUUAUGUAAAGCUCUAUCAGCAGGGAAGAAAAUGACGGUACCUGAGUAAGAAGCCCCGGCUAACUACGUGCCAGCAGCCGCGGUAAUACGUAGGGGGCAAGCGUUAUCCGGAUUUACUGGGUGUAAAGGGAGCGUAGACGGCAGUGCAAGUCUGGAGUGAAAGGCGGGGGCUCAACCCCCGGACUGCUCUGGAAACUGUACGGCUGGAGUGCAGGAGAGGUAAGUGGAAUUCCUAGUGUAGCGGUGAAAUGCGUAGAUAUUAGGAGGAACACCAGUGGCGAAGGCGGCUUACUGGACUGUAACUGACGUUGAGGCUCGAAAGCGUGGGGAGCAAACAGGAUUAGAUACCCCUGUAGUC
rnacentral:rRNA from 1 species